UACGGAGGUUGCAAGCGUUGUUCGGAAUUACUGGGCGUAAAGCGGGUGUAGGCGGCCUCGCAAGUCAGGUGUGAAAUCCCUGGGCCCAACCCAGGAACUGCACUUGAUACUGCUUGGCUCGAGUCCCGGAGAGGAUGGCGGAAUUCCAGGUGUAGAGGUGAAAUUCGUAGAUAUCUGGAGGAACACCAGCGGCGAAGGCGGCCAUCUGGACGGUGACUGACGCUCAGACCCGAAAGCGUGGGGAGCAAACAGG
rnacentral:rRNA from 1 species